rnacentral:rRNA from 1 species
UGAUACUGGAGCUCAUGAGUUAUGUUGCUGUGGCCGGAACAUGUGGUGUAGCGGUGAAAUGCAUAAGAUAUCACAUAGAACACCGAUGGCGAAGGCAGGUCACAAAGCAUACACUGACAUUGAGGGACGAAAGCGUGGGGAGCGAACGGGAUUUAGAUACCCCGGUAGUCCACGCCGUAAACGAUGGAUACUAGCUGUUGGGUUUUCGGACUCGGCGCACAAGCGAAAGUGAUAAGUAUCCCACCUGGGGGAGUACGUUCGCAAGAAUGAAACUCAAAGGAAUUGACGGGGGGCCCGCACAAGCGGUGGAGCAUGUGGUUUAAUUCGAUGAUACGCGAGGAACCUUACCAAGGGCUUAAAUGGGAGAUGACCGGGUCAGAGACGACCCUUUCUUCGGACAUCUUUCAAGGUGCUGCAUGGUUGUCGUCAGCUCGUGCCGUGAGGUGUCAGGUUAAGUCCUAUAACGAGCGCAACCCCUGCCGUUAGUUGCCAGCGAGUCAAGUCGGGGACUCUAACGGGACUGCCGGUGCAAACCGAGAGGAAGGUGGGGGACGACGUCAAAUCAUCACGGCCCUUACGUCCUGGGCUACACACGUGCUACAAUGGUCGGUACAAUGGGAAGCCACACCGUGAGGGGGCGCGGAUCUUAAAGCCAGAUCACAGUUCGGAUCGGGGUCUGCAACUCGACCCCGUGAAGCUGGAAUCGCUAGUAAUCGGAUAUCAGCCAUGAUCCGGUGAAUACGUUCCCGGGCAUUGUACACACCGCCCGUCAAGCCAUGGAAGCCGGGG